rnacentral:lncRNA from 1 species
UUCGCACCUGUUUAAAGAUCCCUAAUGGUGCAUGCGAGAGCGUCUGGCGGGAGAGAAUUUCCCUGGAAAAUUUCCUCCACGUAGGAUUUAAAUAGCCUGUGUAAUUUACCUGGCGCCUUGUCGACACCUUAGUUUUUGGUACAAAAUUACGCACCAUGCAAACUCCCUUGCUUUGUUAAGGGAGUUUGAAAGCUCGCUAAUAUAGCUUCAUUC